GAUGAACGCUGGCGGCGUGUCUAAUACAUGCAAGUCGAGCGAACAGACGAGGAGCUUGCUCCUCUGACGUUAGCGGCGGACGGGUGAGUAACACGUGGAUAACCUACCUAUAAGACUGGGAUAACUUCGGGAAACCGGAGCUAAUACCGGAUAAUAUAUUGAACCGCAUGGUUCAAUAGUGAAAGACGGUUUUGCUGUCACUUAUAGAUGGAUCCGCGCCGCAUUAGCUAGUUGGUAAGGUAACGGCUUACCAAGGCAACGAAGCGUAGCCGACCUGAGAGGGUGAUCGGCCACACUGGAACUGAGACACGGUCCAGACUCCUACGGGAGGCAGCAGUAGGGAAUCUUCCGCAAUGGGCGAAAGCCUGACGGAGCAACGCCGCGUGAGUGAUGAAGGUCUUCGGAUCGUAAAACUCUGUUAUUAGGGAAGAACAAAUGUGUAAGUAACUAUGCACGUCUUGACGGUACCUAAUCAGAAAGCCACGGCUAACUACGUG
rnacentral:rRNA from 1 species